rnacentral:rRNA from 1 species
UACGAAGGGGGCUAGCGUUGCUCGGAAUCACUGGGCGUAAAGCGCACGUAGGCGGCUUUCUAAGUCAGAGGUGAAAUCCCGGAGCUCAACUCCGGAACUGCCUUUGAUACUGGAGAGCUUGAGUUCGGGAGAGGUGAGUGGAACUGCGAGUGUAGAGGUGAAAUUCGUAGAUAUUCGCAAGAACACCAGUGGCGAAGGCGGCUCACUGGCCCGAUACUGACGCUGAGGUGCGAAAGCGUGGGGAGCAAACAGG